CCCUGACCGAGUUCUCUCACAGCUCUUCACAAGGAAGCAAAUUAGCGCUCAGUCGUCUUGCCAGAGGGGGGGCUUCUCAUAAGCGGAUAUCUGUGUGUUUCUGACACAAUAUCAUCUUUUUUAUGUUCAGGCCUGAUUGGUGGAGUGUUGCAGUGAUGGUUAUUCUUCUGGAAGCUUAUUCUUCUGGAAGCUUAUUCUUCUUUUGGCCGGGCGGCUUCGCUCUAGGAAGAAUCUAGGUGGUUCCUUAAAACCAUUAAUGCUGCACAAAUAUUUCCAGAUCCAGAUCUGUGCCUCUAUACAAUCCUGUAUAGGAGGUCUACAGGCAAUUCCUUGGACUUCAUGGCUUGGUUUGUGCCAC